AGGGCACAGACCCAGGAGCGAGAUAGGAUUCAAGUCAUGGUUCUACCAGUUACAGCUGCGUGACCUUGGGACUGAUGAACCUUCCUGGCCCAAAAUUAUGCCUGGGAAAGCAAGGAAUGGAGCUGGCUUUCCUAGCUCUCCAAGGAAUGGAGGAGCCAUCCCUGUCUAGCUCCUCCAGGUGAACGGGCAGGUGCGGCCACAAACAGCAUGACGCAGACGGAAGACACAACCAUCUCUGCCUUUCUCAGAAUUUUCUUUCCUAACAGUGAAGCAUGCCAUUUUUUAAACCACCAGACAGUCUCUUAGCCUCUACAGUCCUGGCUAAAUUGCCUAUAAUCCUGAGAAAAGCAGCUGUUCCCUGUCCCUGGUCCCCUGCCAAAGGCUCUGAGCCUGACCUCAAACUCACACUUUGGGGUUUAUUUAUGUGACUUUGGAGUUACUAUUCUCAAAUGGUACCUGGAGCCUGAGUUCAUGCUUAUGCUACUCUACCUCCAAAACCAAAGCAUCCCACUGACCUGGACAACCUCGAUCUGACAACCCUAAACUUCUGAACUACAAAUAAACUCCUUGGAAUAACCAUCUCCCCAAGAAGACCAUGUCUCACUCAA
rnacentral:lncRNA from 1 species